GCCCCGGUAGUUCAGUGGUAGAGCCCCUAUAAACGAUAAGCGAAAGCGCCUAGCAAUAACUACGUGGAGGUCGUAGGUUCGAAUCCUGCCCGGGAAC